rnacentral:rRNA from 1 species
AGAGUUUGAUCAUGGCUCAGAACGAACGCUGGCGGCAGGCCUCAAACAUGCAAGUCUAGGGGGCGUAGCAAUACGUCACCGGCGGACGGGUGCGUAACACGUGGGAAUAUACCUUUCGGUACGGAACAACUGAGGGAAACUUCAGCUAAUACCGUAUACGUCCUAACGGAGAAAGAUUUAUCGCCGAAGGAUUAGCCCGCGUUCGAUUAGCUAGUUGGUGAGGUAAUGGCUCACCAAGGCAACGAUCGAUAGCUGUUCUGAGAGGAAGAUCAGCCACACUGGGACUGAGACACGGCCCAGACUCCUACGGGAGGCAGCAGUUGGGAAUCUUGGACAAUGGGGGAAACCCUGAUCCAGCCAUGCCGCGUGAGUGAUGAAGGCCUUCGGGUUGUAAAGCUCUUUUACCCGGGAAGAUAAUGACUGUACCGGGAGAAUAAGCUCCGGCUAACUUCGUGCCAGCAGCCGCGGUAAUACGAAGGGGGCUAGCGUUGUUCGGAAUUACUGGGCGUAAAGCGCGCGCAGGCGGUUUCUCAAGUCAGUGGUGAAAGCCCGGAGCUCAACUCCGGAACUGCCAUUGAAACUGUGAAACUUGAGGACGAGAGAGGUGAGUGGAAUUCCCAGUGUAGAGGUGAAAUUCGUAGAUAUUGGGAAGAACACCGGUGGCGAAGGCGGCUCACUGGCUCGUUUCUGACGCUCAGGCGCGACAGCGUGGGGAUCAAACAGGAUUAGAUACCCUAGUAGUCC